AUACGAAAGGGGCAAGCGUUGUUCGGAAUUACUGGGCGUAAAGCGCACGUAGGCGGCAUUGUAAGUUGGGGGUGAAAUCCCGGAGCUUAACUCCGGAACUGCCUCCAAAACUACAAAGCUAGAGGAUGUGAGAGGAUAGUGGAAUUCCGAGUGUAGAGGUGAAAUUCGUAGAUAUUCGGAAGAACACCAGUGGCGAAGGCGACUGUCUGGCACAUUUCUGACGCUGAGGUGCGAAAGCGUGGGGAGCAAACAGGAUUAGAAACCCCGGUAGUCC
rnacentral:rRNA from 1 species